rnacentral:rRNA from 1 species
GACGAACGCUGGCGGCGUGCUUAACACAUGCAAGUCGAACGAUGAAGCAGAGACACGCGAACUUCGGUUCAAAUUUCACUUCGGAUUAGUGGCAGACGGGUGAGUAACGCGUGAGCAACCUACCUCUUACAAAGGGAUAGCCUCGGGAAACCGUGAUUAAUACCAUAUGACACAUUCAUAAGGCAUCUUAAGAAUGUUAAAGCUACGGCGGUAAGAGAUGGGCUCGCGUCCCAUUAGCUAGUUGGUGAGGUAACGGCCCACCAAGGCGACGAUGGGUAACCGGCCUGAGAGGGUGAACGGUCACAUUGGAACUGAGACACGGUCCAAACUCCUACGGGAGGCAGCAGUGGGGAAUAUUGCACAAUGGAGGGAACUCUGAUGCAGCGACGCCGCGUGAGCGAUGAAGGAAUUCGUUUCGUAAAGCUCUGUUCUAUGGGAAGAAAAGGACUGUACCAUAGGAGAAAGCCCCGGCUAAAUACGUGC